rnacentral:rRNA from 1 species
UACGAAGGGGGCUAGCGUUGCUCGGAAUCACUGGGCGUAAAGGGUGCGUAGGCGGGUCUUUUAAGUCAGGGGUGAAAUCCUGGAGCUCAACUCCAGAACUGCCUUUGAUACUGAAGAUCUUGAGUUCGGGAGAGGUGAGUGGAACUGCGAGUGUAGAGGUGAAAUUCGUAGAUAUUCGCAAGAACACCAGUGGCGAAGGCGGCUCACUGGCCCGGUACUGACGCUGAGGCACGAAAGCGUGGGGAGCAAACAGG